ACUUAUAAAUAAAGAGAGAAGCUAUAAAUCAAAACCAUUGCUUUUAUCCAUAUUACAAGAUGAUGAGAAUGCUAAAGUGUUGGUUACAUCAAUAAAGAGUUUCUUUAGUGUCAGCACAAACACAAAUAUGUACUCAGUCAUUUCUCUUACCUACUUCAGUUGUUAUAAUAUUGUUAAUUGAUGAAUUGUCAUUGGAUUAGAAUGACAAAAUCAUUAGCUAGAGAUGAUUUUGUACCUAUGUCACUACCAGCAGAUAAUGGCAUGUAAGUGCUCUAAGCAUCAAUCUAUGUGUGCUUAGUAAGCAUAUUCUUUUAAAAAGAUUGCUGUAAAAGGUGGUGAGUCAUUUUCAAAUGCUUUUGUGUCAAGUGUUUGGUUGAGUAUGUGGUUAGAAUACUAAAAGGAGAAUUAACCUUAAAUAAUUCUGGGAAUCUUUAUUAAUGCUCAGGAUUCUAUACCUUAUAUUUUAGAAUAUGAAUUUACUAACAGUCAACUUCCUAAGAGGAAAAUAUUUAGACUGUUUUAUAUUUUAUAUUUGCUGAAUGUAUUUAAUUCUCACCUCUAAUGCCUAAUGAAGUUUCUUCAGCAACAAUGAAUGGUGCCUGGGUAAAUAGACACUGUUCAUGACAGGUGAAUGGCUUCCCACACAAAAAGAUCAAGAUAUAGCAAGAGGGGCAAGCAAUUUCAGAGAGGCAUGAUUAUACAUUAAGGGUGAUGUGUUUCUGCUGUCUAGCUUCUUCAAACAGAAGAAAUCUCUUGCACUAUGAAUCAAUGAAUGUAUAGCAGAAGUGUACCAGCCUUAAAAAAAAUCCUUUUAGGUUGAGUAGUAGUAGAUGGAUAUUCAUUUGCCAAAUGAAAGUGAAAUACCUGCUUUAUAUGGCUCUCUUGUGCAAUUCUGCUAAUAAUUGUAAAAUAGGGUCAUAUUUUUAAAAAGAGUAAGCCUGUUUUCUAGAACUUUUCAGUAUUAUUUAAUUGUCAUGUGAGUUUUGGUUCUUGUGAUUUCUUGUUCUGUUAUUGUCAUAUAAUUUUCUCCUACUUCCUUCCCUUGUUUGCAAGUCAUUGCUAGGUACCUUUAAGGAAACCUCUUAGAGGCUAAACACAGGAAGCCAUGUGUUUUUGGACUUUCAUCUUCCAAACCUGCAAGGUGUAUCAGCCGUUUUCCAUUGUAACUUCCCAACAUUAAGCAUUUUGUCAUGGCUGAAAGCCACAUAUUGAAUCAAGAUUGUAAUGGAGUGGUAUCCUCCGAGAUAGGGUGAGAUUAGCACAGGGCUGAAGAAAAAGAAAUGAUGAAUGUUAGAGAAGCUAACUGUAUUUAAACUGAUUGGAGCAUUACACAAUCGAUACACAUCAAAACAUCAAACUUUGAUGUUCAUUAGUAUGUACAGUGUUGUGUUUCUAAAAUUCAGUUAAAAUGAUUUCAUAAAAGAAAGGGAUGCAAAAUAUACUCAGGUAUAUUAAAAUUCUAAAAAUGUUUAUUUAAUCAGUGAUUUAUGGACCAGACAUCAUUGCAUUGCAACUAUUUGGUUUCCAGUAAAGAAACAGUUGAGGAUGCAUUUGAAAUGUAUCCAGGAAUGUGAAAGGAAGUUUUGAAUACUUAAGAUAGAAUGAUAGCAUUUUGAUUCCUAGUUAUUGAUGAGUUAAUACUUUCAGGCUUGUUAUUUCUGUUUCAUUUUUCUAGGAUAUGACUAUUCAGCCUAGAGGCCAACAUUGCUAUAACACUUUAAAACUAUUGCCUUCACAAUUAAUCAUUAUUAUUAAUACUUAAUUAAUAAAUACAGUGUCCUCUCCACUCCUCUGCCCUUUCUUUCCAGAAAAAGGCAGGCCUGCCAUGAUCAUCAACCAAGCUUGGCACAUAAAUUUGCAGUAAUGUAACUUUCUGGUAAAAAUAAAUGAUGUGUAAAUCAUUAUAAAGUUGCCAAAUGGCAUAUAAUAUGAAAGAUUAUGCUGGAGACUGUGUAGAACUAAUUGACAACAUUUCCAUGGCAAUUGCUAUAGUAACAUUAAGACUGGCAUUGAUGCCAAGAAAUCUGCAAAGGUUUAUUCGAAAGGAAAGCUAUAGAAUGCAAAUGAAAUUUUGGUGUUUUCGUGAGUGUAGGCUGAAGAGAAGAAAAAUUUUACAUUUUAAUAUCUACAUAAUACAUAUAUGUAUAUAACUUAAUACUAUAAUAAAAUAUAUUAAAAUAUCUGUUAAAACUUAAUCCUGACAACUUUAUCAAUAUUAAUUACCUCAUAUAAUCCUUUACAAGUCACAUUAUAUUUUCAUUUUGUAUUUUAAAGUGACUAUUAGACCUCUAACAUACAAAUCAAAUUACUGAAUUCAUAUUUGAAUCUGUAAAUCAUUUGUUUUUUAUAAUAUACUUUAAAAAUAUGUUCUGAGUGUCCUAAGAUGCCAUCUACAGAUCUGAAAGAUUCCUGUACUUUUUUAGACUCUAUUAUCAAAAAGAGCCACAUAGAGUUUCAAAUUUUCUUUAUUUAAACAAUUUUCUCAACGUAUGAGAGAAUUAGGUAUUACAUCAUUUAUUUUAAUAUUAAAAACACUCUAUUUUACAAAUUAGAGAAAAUAAGAAACUGAGGCAGAAAAAUUAGUGUCCAUAUGAAAUGUGUCCAUUUAGCAAGUAACAUAGCUAGUUAGAAUCACAAGUGUUACAUAUUAGCUAUACUUGUUUAUUCUGUAACCCAACUCAAAACUAUAAUACUGCAUCCUACCUGAAGCAUUUCUCAUCUUGUCUUGGUAAAGCUAAGGGAAUAUUAGAAUGGAUAAUAAAUAAGAACACUUAAUUAAUAGUCUAUUAGCUUCCUGUCCUGCACUUAGUUAUGAGAGAAGAACUGUGUGGUUUAAAACAAUAACAUAUUCAGUCGUACAAUUGGAGAAUCAAAUCUGACUUUCAUGGCUUUCAAAGUUUGGUCUUUCCACUGACAAAUUCUAGACCUUGGGUACAUCUAAUUCCUCCUUAUUUGUGUCACAGUAGACUCUCUGCCAUGUUCUCCCUUUCUGUGUGUCAACUUUAACAGAGUUGGUUACAGUGGGUUCCCUGUUAAUGGAACGCCACCCCACUUCGGUGGGAUUAAAUGUUUUUAACUAUUUUAUUUUCAAGUAAUGUCAGGAAUUCAUUUCUCAAAGUUGGAAUCAAUCAUGGCCUUUAAAAAGAUAUAACCCAGCUCACCUAUUGUUGAAUCACUUUCCAAUUCUGUUAAGCAAACACUUUUCUUUCCAUUACUU
rnacentral:lncRNA from 1 species